AUACCUUUCUCGGCCUUUUGGCUAAGAUCAAGUGUAGUAUCUGUUCUUAUCAGUUUAAUAUCUGAUAUGUGGGUCAUUGGCUCACAUGAUAUUAAAUUACUUUUUUAAAGGGAAGUGACCAUUACAAUAGCUUGCUAUUGGGUUACUUGAGUGUCUCCCAUGUGUUGCACUAUAACAUGGGCCUGGCACACCCUAC